UACAGAGGUCCCAAGCGUUGUUCGGAUUCAUUGGGCGUAAAGGGUGCGUAGGCGGCGCGGUAAGUCGGGUGUGAAAUCUCGGGGCUCAACCCCGAAAUUGCACCGGAUACUGCGUUGCUCGAGGACUGUAGAGGAGAGUGGAAUUCACGGUGUAGCAGUGAAAUGCGUAGAUAUCGUGAGGAAGACCAGUUGCGAAGGCGACUCUCUGGGCAGUUCCUGACACUGAGGCACGAAGGCCAGGGGAGCAAACGGG
rnacentral:rRNA from 1 species